AGGACGAACGCUGGCGGCGUGCUUAACACAUGCAAGUCGAGCGGAAAGGCCCUUCGGGGUACUCGAGCGGCGAGCGGGUGAGUAACACGUGAGCAACCUGCCCUUAGCUCCGGGAUAGCUCCGGGAAACCGGAAUUAAUACCGGAUACGACCACAGCCGACAUCUGCUGUGGUGGAAAGGAUUCCGGCUAAGGAUGGGCUCGCGGCCUAUCAGCUAGUUGGUGGAGUAACGGCCCACCAAGGCGACGACGGGUA
rnacentral:rRNA from 1 species